UCAUCAUCUGCAAAUCCACGUUGACAUCGCCGCCGGCCAUCCACCCACCCACCAUCCCUAACCACGAGACGCCGACCGGGCCGGAGGAAGAAGACAUUUCCUCAGAUCGACCCCCCUCGCGAGAGAAAGAGAGAGAGAGAGAGAGAGAGAGCGAGCGAGAGGAGCCUCGGCCGCCAUGGGAUUCAUCAUGGAGUUCGCGGAGAACCUGAUCCUGCGGCUGAUGGAGGACCCGGAGCAGCGCGACGAGGCGCAGCGGGCGCACGUCUACCGGAUGAAGGAGCGGUGCGAGCGCACCAAGGCGGCCUGGGCGCUCCCGCUCCGCCCCUACGGCUUCUGGACCUUCGACCGCUUCAACUCCCAGCUCUCCUGGGACCCCCAGAUCAGCCAGGCCGCCGGCCGCCGCGACCCCUACGACGACCUCCUCGCCCGCCACGCCGGCCCCGCCCCGCCCUCCUCCUCCUGAGAACCGAAUCCGGCAUCAACCGCGAGGAAGUGUGGUUGCACCGGAUCUACGCGGGCAGCAAUAAGGAACUCAUUUCCCUCAAAAUGACUGUGAUUGCAUUCCCUUCUGGUUCAUUUUUAUCCUUGAACUGCCCCAGUUGGUUCAUCUGCUGAGUGGUUACUUUGACAAACUUCCUGUUCGGCAAGAUACCUGAAAUGCUUUGUAUCUGUUGAUUUUCAGUCUUUGUACCAUGAAAGCUUUCAAUAAUCUCACUGUGCACAUGUUUUUCCUUUUGGUAUUUGAAAAUCUUCUGAUGAUACGAGUUUCUGGUGGCAUAUGCUUGAAACCUGCGAGUUCUUAGGCUGGCCUUGCUGGUCUGGUUUAUCAAAUGUUAAUGGCAAC
rnacentral:rRNA from 1 species